GCGUGGGCACCUUUAGGUACGCCUUCUCACUCAUUCCUAGCGGAAAGGCAGCCUUAUCAAAAUUGUACAUAAAUUAUAAGCGUUUUAUUUACCUAUUUUAAAUAAUUAUUCUAUUUCAUCUAAUAUUUAUAUUAAUACAAAUAAUAACACAGAUAAAAUAGAGACUAUAAAAAAACAAAACUCCAAAUUGGUCACAAGUUAGAGUUUCAUUAGUUUACAAAAGUAAAAAAUAUCAUCGAAUACGAACAAUCUACGAUACGAACAUAAUAUACAAUUUAAUUGACAUUCAAUAAUAAUAGUCAUUUGAAAUAACACAUUAUAUUAUCUGAAUUUACAUAGUUCUCACUGAACAAUUUUAUUGCCAUAAGUUUAGAUUUUUGGGCAUAUUAUACGUACCUAAAACCUAAAUAAUAUUGCAAAUAUUGAGCAAAAAUUUUCUUAUAGAUUAAUCAUUUUUCAUAAGCUUUUAUUACCCAAACUACUUUAAUACCAAAAAUAGUUAAUUAUUGGCGUUAAUUAAGCGGCGAAGGCUUAGUUUAGUUUACCCAAUAAAGGAUUAAUAUAUUUGUGUAUAUAUGUGAAAAAUAGAUGUGCAAAAUACCUAUUUUACAACCUACCCAAAGAUAAUAUUACAAUAAUGGCCAUGAUAUAAUUGAAACUUUAUUUUAGCGUUUAAACUAUCAUAUAAUUUCAUAUCCAUUAAAAAUAUGAUUCUCUUACGGUUUGACUCACGCGAUAUUGGUCAGAGUAAGUAUGCCCGAUUAGUUCGACAUAGUGUCGCAAGCAGAGGCCCUUUGAGAAACGAGCCUGGACGGUACGUUAUUUAACUUACAGUGCGAUCCUUCUACAAAGUUGUUUGUAAGGCGCCGUUUCCCAAAAAUACACCAAACGGAAAUAGUUUUUAACAAUUUUAUUCCCGUUGAACGGGAAUAGAGAACGGGGACAACGGGACAAGUUUUUAAUAAUUUUAUUCGAAUCCCGCUGUACCCGUUAACGGGGACACGCUUAGCGGGGCCAACGGACUACACGGAGUCGGGCAUACUCCGACUAAUAAAGUGUGUUUAGCCGUAAGAGAUUUUAAAAUUUAUAUUUUGAUUUUAACGCCAAAUCUUCGUAACGCCGCUAAGUCCGUUGAUUCUGGAAAUCUCAAUAACGGAGGUUUAUGCAGCGCAAAAUUGCAACGUCAGUCAUAUUCAACUAUGUAGAUGAACAAACGACUUCAGGUGAAUUGCAGGGUUGGUCAUAACCACUCGAAGCACAAACCCAACUGGGCAUCCAUAGAAAAGAGAUGUGCGCCUAUGUGGUCGUCCAUUAGAAAAGACAAUGGAUAGGACAUAGGAAAGUCCCGUUCUUCAAUCUGGAUAAUAUGGUGACAAUACUGUGAAUUCACUCUUCAUUCAUACAAUAUUGUACGUGAUGAUGCACUUUACGUUGCUUUGUCAUCUAGAUGCAAUUAAUUCUCUCGUACUGAUAAUAUGAAACACUAUUAUCAAAUAGGAAUGUCCAAGAUUUUUCAAAUACUCGUAGUUUCAGCAACGCCCUUUUGGACAUCUAGAAGGUAUUUUUAUUAAACCAGCU